GUUUUAUUCUACAUAGGACUGUUACUAUUUAUUUUAGAAAACAAGGCUGUAAUAAAAAUAAACAAGUCUGCAUCCAAUAAGUUUUCUCUGCAAUGUGUACAUCUGCAGCGCAAUGCUAGGAGUUCAAACUCCUGCAUCCUCUCAGUUUGUAUAGAAGCUAGGA